CGCAGACAGCGGGAGCCUUCCUGAGGGAAUGCCGCGACCCAACGGGCGGGGUCCGCCGGGGAGGGGCGGGGCCUGGUUUGGGUUUCCAGAACAAAAAGACUGACCUCUCAAAGACUCAGUUUUCCUGCCUGUAAAGUGGUGAUAAGGCUGCUUUCAAGUUGAAAGGCUGAAACACGGGUUCUGUCCCUGAUCCAAGAAGAUCCCAUGUGCCAAGGAGCAACUGAGCCUGAGCACCGGAACUACUGAAGCCCUCAUGCUGUAGAACCCAUGCUCUGCAACCAGAGAAGCCACUGCAAUGAGAAGCCGGUGCCCUGCAACGAAGAGUAGCCACAGCUUGCUACAACUAGAGAACAACUGGCAACAAAGACUCAGCACAGCCAAAAAUAAAUAAAUA
ensembl:lncRNA